GACGAACGCUGGCGGCGUGCUUAACACAUGCAAGUCGAACGGGAACCUUUAUUUCGGUAAAGGUGAGAGUGGCAAACGGGUGAGUAACACGUAGGCAACCUGCCGACAGGAUGGGGACAACAUUCCGAAAGGAAUGCUAAUACCGAAUGGAGUCCGGGGAUGGCAUCAUCCACGGAUCAAAGAUGGCCUCUGAAUAUGCUAUCGCCUGUCGAUGGGCCUGCGUCUGAUUAGCCAGUUGGCGGGGUAACGGCCCACCAAAGCGACGAUCAGUAGCCGGUCUGAGAGGAUGAACGGCCACAUUGGGACUGAGACACGGCCCAGACUCCUACGGGAGGCAGCAGUGGGGAAUCUUCCACAAUGGGCGAAAGCCUGAUGGAGCAACGCCGCGUGAGUGAAGAAGGUCUUCGGAUCGUAAAGCUCUGUGCACGGGAC
rnacentral:rRNA from 1 species